UAUUGAUGUCUGAAGAUUUAAUUUAGGCCAUAAUCCUGUCACCUUAGGUCGAUCGGUACCUCAGAUUGAAGAUGAAAAAUUAUUUUUUAGAUUUAAUUUCAGUUCCUAAACUUGUCUAGGUCACACCCAACAAACUUUCUCUUGGGCUAUUAGCUCAGGCGGUUAGAGCGCACCCCUGAUAAGGGUGAGGUCCCUGGUUCAAGUCCAGGAUGGCCCAUUCGUUGUUGGGGGUAUAGCUCAGUUGGUAGAGCGCCUGCUUUGCAAGCAGGAUGUCAGCGGUUCGAGUCCGCUUACCUCCACUGAUCAACUACCUAAUAACUCAAUAGGAGAUUGUUAUUUGUUUAAUGUGACUUAGAUGUUGUUCAUCUGAAUGAACCUAGCUUCCUAUCAUUCCAAAUUGUUUAUGGUUGAUAAGAUGCUGGGCUCACUGAUAGAAACUAUCAGUUUGAUUCAGUAGAACCUUGACAACUGCAUAGGAAAGUCUGGAAAGAAAGCAUCUCAUAGAUGUUUUUAGAAAAUCUAAUUUACUAAGUUAGGGAAUUUUAUUUUUCUAUUUCAAUUCUAAUAGUUAGAAGCAAAAUUUCUAAUAGCCUCAAUCUCCUAUUAAAUUAGUUUUAAU
rnacentral:tRNA from 1 species